UUGCAAUACACGCAAGUGUGACAGGGGCUAUCCCGAGUGCCAUCCGCUGAGGAAGGCUUUUACCCAGUCUAGAAAGCUGGGGGAAUAAGGAGAGGGCAAGUCUGGUGUCAGCCGCCGCGGUAAUACCAGCUCUCCGAGUGGUGUGGAUGUUUAUUGGGCCUAAAGCAUCCGUAGCUGGCUAGGUCAGUCCCUUGUUAAAUCCACCGAAUUAAUCGUUGGAUUGCGGGGGAUACUGCCUGGCUAGGGAACGAGAGAGGCAGACGGUAUUUUCGGGGUAGGGGUGAAAUCCUAUAAUCCCGGGAAGACCACCAGUGGCGAAGGCUGUCUGCUAGAACGCGUCCGACGGUGAGGGAUGAAAGCUGGGGGAGCGAACCGGAUUAGAUACCCGGGUAGUCCCAGCUGUAAACGAUGCAGGCUAGGUGUUUGGACGGCCACGUGCCGUUCUAGUGCCGCAGGGAAGCUGUUAAGCCUGCCGCCUGGGGAGUACGAUCGCAAGAUUGAAACUUAAAGGAAUUGGCGGGGGAGCACCACAAGGGGUGAAGCUUGCGGUUUAAUUGGAUUCAACGCCGGAAAGGGCG
rnacentral:rRNA from 1 species